AUAGAAUUCAAGGAGGGAGUCCGGCAGAUCUGCCGAGUUGGAGUUGAAGGCAUAAAUCUACACUCUAACUUUCAUAUUGUAAGCAAUGAGGCAUCUUGGAGAAGGCAGAAAGAAAGAAAGAAAUUGUGCCAGGAGCUGUAAAGCAGCUGUGAACUAGGAGAAAAGAGUUUUAGAAACCAGGCUCAAGUUCAAAACUUACAGACCUUACAAGAAGCUGAUAAAAAGUUUGCAGUUAGUCCCAAAAAAGUGGAUAACCAUCAAGAAUUUGAUAAAUUGUCAAAGACUUCUUGGAGAAGGUAUGAAUCAUAGUGGAAAAGAAUUUUCAAUUACUGAGAGACAAUGGUGCAUCAUCUUUUCAACAAUUUGAAGAGAAAAGGAUGCCUGAAAGCAUUUCUUAGCCAAUGAAGAAUUUUUGCAGUUCAAUUCUGUAAUGCACAGAAAAGCAGUGCCAAUUUUCAUUCUACAAGACCCCCAACCAGCAACGAGACACAGAGGAAUUCAUCAGGUGAAUAAGGCUCGGGGAAUUCUUCCACAAACCCCAAGAUGUCAGCAGCGAGCCCAGUGAGACAACCAACCAACCAGAACCAGUUGACAGAGAUCCGUGUUGCAGUGACCAAAGAAAAAGUCAAAUUGGAGCCCUUCAGAAGGCCACUGCCCUAGGCUCAACAUGUAUGCUGAAGGCAGCAG